GGGAAAUAUGGUGUGUCAUUAAUUGUCAUCGGAAUACAAAUACAAUUAAGAGACUGAAACUCUCCAAUAAACCGAUUACAAUUGAGAUUUUCCAUGAACUAAAGAUCAAUUGAGAGUUUCAGCAGUGUUUCGAGUGUUUUUUUUCUUUUUAUAUAUAAACUGAACUGUACAGGAGUCCAACUCUCCGCAAAAUAUCAGGACUCUCCCUCUGAAUGUUUGACAUGCAAGCUGCCUGGAAUAGAAAAACAUAGAGAAAUGACAGCCAACAAGUAACAUCAUACUUACCAUGUUGCGUUGGCUUUUCAUCCCUCAAUGCUGCGACUCCACUUCUUUCAAGCUGUUGAUGCAACACUUUACCUACAAGACUAUAAAAGAGAACCAAAAUACAGCACCUUUAAAGACAAAAGGACUGAUAUAUAAAACAAAAAGUAAGUGCAAGUAUCAAAUCGUGAAACAUGCCCUAUAGAGGAUUUUUGUACAGACUCCGAUCGAAUGCUAUCCGGAGAUGUUAAAACUCCACGAGCAGCUUUUGGCUUCAUGAAACACAAAAAGAAUAGAAUUGGUCAAAGUUAUGGCAAAAGCUAAAAAUGGAAGUAUGAAUUAUAAAAAUCAAUGACGUCAGAAAGAUAAAAGAGGCAAAAUCGACUGAUUCAAAACCUCUAACUCCCGCAACGCAUCUUCUAAAAAUCUUGAACCAUUUUCACAUACAUUAUUCAAAAGAGACUUGGACUCUGCUCUGUAUAAGUCACCCUGAGAGGAACGGAGAGAGUUGCCACCAGUACUGCCCGCUGCAUAACCAUCAUGGCCGAGUCGGAGCAAUUCAUGCGCAGGAGCUCCAGAGGUACCAGCUUCAACAAGGUUUGUGACACCACCAGACUGAUAUACACAUCCAUCUGCACUUUCCACACAUUGUGCUCUUUGUGACUUCCUUUGUUCAAUAUAAACAUCUUCAUCAGGAACAGCAAACUGCAUCUUAUCAUUCGUCACAUUAUUUGAAAUUUCUUCACUCUUUCUCUUCCCUCCAGUAACUGUCGAGAAACACUGUUGUAACAACAUGCCACUUUUCUCACCAACAAUAAGUUCAGGCGAAGGUGAUUCCCUUCUUGGAGGGCUAAUUGAUGGUCUUUUGUCCAAACUCUGGUGACUCUCUUCCACACAUUCAAGCUCUCUUUUCCUUUCCAAACCUCCUCUUUCUCUGGAUCUUGACCUAAAAAUACUAGUGACAGGCUUCUCUCCCAGCUGCCCACUCAUUAGCCUUGGUGUUUGGUUUCGUUUAUAACCAUCUGAUAGAAUACAAGGGGGAAUCUGCUUUCUACGAACAUGGGACACAAACAUUUCCAUUCCUGGUUUCUAAUACAUAUACAUGUUUACUUGGUGUCUAAACUCGUCAACUGUCCCACGAAUAUCAAACUGCUGACAUUCUUGAACCAACUCCCCUGGCCUCCUCUGCAAACCCAUGAAAAAGGCACGAUGAGCACACUGUUUGGACGGGUCCACAUACUCGUGCGGACAAGGAUGGCACUGCAAUUUCCCAAAUGUGUCCCGUUCUAUCAUCAAAGUAAGUUGCCUUAACCGGGAUUCGACCCAGCCUCUCCAUACAAGUAAGUCAUCAGCAUCAGCUGCAACUAUGUCAACUUGCAAAUAGUUCUUGUAGCUUUCGAAGAAAGGAUACUGCUCAAACAAUGCAGUCCACCGGGCUUUAUUGAGGUCAAUUUCCUGACAUAUGUUGUUACCAAAUUCAAAUUGUUCUGUCAUAACACGAAGAGUACUUGAAGAGACAUUGUAGCUAGAGUUCAUGUAAGGAUAGGCAGGUGUAAUAAUUGGCAUCUGAUGUGUCCGGUCCCAAGGGUUUUUUCGUGGAUCCCAGAUAGAAAAUCCAAAUUCUUUAUCCUCUAUCUGACAAAGCAUCACAGGAUUUGGCCAGCGCCAUUGUGUAUAUACGCGGAAAAAACGAGAAACCAGCAUACUCGGAACAGCAUUUGGAUAAAGUUGGCAAACCCGAGCAACUAGAAGAGCCCAGUUAACUCCACCAAGAAAUCCAGUCACAUUUGAAUAAACACCACGCUGUUUAGCCCAAAACUUUAAACAUCGAAGUGUGAUCCGGAAAAACUCAAUAUUUGGAACAUCUUUAAGAAUUUUAUCUGCCACCCUGCAGCCAUUAAGGCUCCUUACAGUUGGCUCAUCAACAUUGAACAACACGGAUUCACUGGAUAUGUCCAAGUCCUGUCACAAGAAGAUGUAAAAGGAAACAUCAGGCAUACUAUUAUUAGUGGUCUAAGCAGCUGAUUGAUGCCAUAAAUUGAAUGUCAGUU
rnacentral:misc_RNA from 1 species